rnacentral:lncRNA from 1 species
CUGCCCUGCGAGAUGAUAGUGGUAGAUGAACAAUGUCUGGUGGCGAUGCUUGAAAGCCUUUAUUUUUGUAAGACUUUAGGUAUUCUUUCUUGGAGGAUACAUAAAUCCUGGUGGGAGUAGCCUUCAGGGUUCGGCACUGUAUGAACAUGCAAUUCAAUGUAUAAUUGCGUAUGCCUUCAGGGUUCGGCACUGUAUGAACAUGCAAUUCAAUGUAUAAUUGCGUAUCAGUGGAUGUUUGUUGAGUGGCAGAACAGAAA